rnacentral:rRNA from 1 species
UACGUAGGGGGCAAGCGUUGUCCGGAAUCAUUGGACGUAAAGAGCGCGUAGGCGGUCCGGUAAGUCCGCUCUGAAAGUCCGGGGCUCAACCCCGGGAGGCGGGCGGAUACUGUCGGGCUAGAGUCCGGAAGAGGCGAGUGGAAUUCCUGGUGUAGCGGUGAAAUGCGCAGAUAUCAGGAGGAACACCAAUGGCGAAGGCAGCUCGCUGGGACGGUACUGACGCUGAGGCGCGAAAGCGUGGGGAGCAAACAGG